GAUGAACGCUGGCGGCGUGCCUAAUACAUGCAAGUCGAGCGAACAGACGAGGAGCUUGCUCCUCUGACGUUAGCGGCGGACGGGUGAGUAACACGUGGAUAACCUACCUAUAAGACUGGGAUAACUUCGGGAAACCGGCGCUAAUACCGGAUAAUAUAUUGAACCGCAUGGUUCAAUAGUGAAAGACGGCUUUGCUGUCACUUAUAGAUGGAUCCGCGCCGCAUUAGCUAGUUGGUAAGGUAACGGCUUACCAAGGCAACGAUGCGUAGCCGACCUGAGAGGCUGAUCGGCCACACUGGAACGUAGACACGGUCCAGACUCCUACGGGAGGCAGCAGUAGGGAAUCUUCCGCAAUGGGCGAAAGCUUGACGGAGCAACGCCGCGUGAGUGAUGAAGGUCUUCGGAUCGUAAAACUCUGUUAUUAGGGAAGAACAAAUGUGUAAGUAACUAUGCACGUCUUGACGGUACCUAAUCAGAAAGCCACGGCUAACUACGUG
rnacentral:rRNA from 1 species